rnacentral:ncRNA from 2 species
AACGUGCUCCGGGGUCGGUGAGAGUCCGAACCGGCGGUCAUAGUCCGCGAGCGGGCGGCGUGCGAACGCCUCCUGCUGAACCGGUGGAAUUCCGGUACCGACGGUAAUGCGUGCAGGCUCAGGCCCGUGCGCUCAGUCCGGAUGGGAGGCAGCACGAA